rnacentral:rRNA from 1 species
AGUCAAGUAAUUAAGUGCAUGUGGUGGAUGCCUUGGCAGUCAGAGGCGAUGAAAGACGUGAUAGCCUGCGAAAAGCUCCGGGGAGGCGGCAAAUAUCCUUUGAUCCGGAGAUGUCUGAAUGGGGGAACCCACCUACUUUAAGGUAGGUAUUGCAACAUGAAUACAUAGUGUUGCAAGGCGAACGAGGGGAAGUGAAACAUCUCAGUACCCUUAGGAAAAGAAAUCAAUUGAGAUUCCCUCAGUAGCGGCGAGCGAACGGGGAUCAGCCCAUUAAGUUAUGUGUGUUUUAGUGGAACGCUCUGGGAAGUGCGAACGUAGAGGGUGAUAUUCCCGUACACGAAAGGGCACACAUAAUGAUGACGAGUAGGGCGAGGCACGUGAAACCUUGUCUGAAUAUGGGGGGACCAUCCUCCAAGGCUAAAUACUCCUGACUGACCGAUAGUGAACCAGUACCGUGAGGGAAAGGCGAAAAGAACCCCUGUGAGGGGAGUGAAAUAGAUCCUGAAACCGCAUGCAUACAAGCAGUGGGAGCACCUUCGUGGUGUGACUGCGUACCUUUUGUAUAAUGGGUCAGCGACUUAUAUUCAGUAGCGAGGUUAACCGUAUAGGGGAGCCGUAGAGAAAUCGAGUCUUAAUAGGGCGUUUAGUUGCUGGGUAUAGACCCGAAACCAGGCGAUCUAUCCAUGAGCAGGUUGAAGGUUGGGUAACACUAACUGGAGGACCGAACCCACUGUCGUUGAAAAGCCAGGGGAUGACUUGUGGAUAGGGGUGAAAGGCUAAUCAAGCCUGGUGAUAGCUGGUUCUCCCCGAAAGCUAUUUAGGUAGCGCCUCGGACGAAUACCAUAGGGGGUAGAGCACUGUUUCGGCUAGGGGUCAUCCCGACUUACCAAACCGAUGCAAACUCCGAAUACCUAUGAGUACUAUCCGGGAGACAGACUGCGGGUGCUAACGUCCGUAGUCAAGAGGAAAACAAUCCAGACCGCCAGCUAAGGCCCCAAAAUCAUAGUUAAGUGGGAAACGAUGUGGGAAGGCAUAGACAGCUAGGAGGUUGGCUUAGAAGCAGCCACCCUUUAAAGAAAGCGUAAUAGCUCACUAGUCGAGUCGGCCUGCGCGGAAGAUGUAACGGGGCUAAAACUAUGUGCCGAAGCUGCGGAUGUAUACUUUGUAUACGUGGUAGGGGAGCGUUCUGUAAGCCGAUGAAGGUGUGUUGAGAAGCAUGCUGGAGGUAUCAGAAGUGCGAAUGCUGACGUGAGUAACGACAAAACGGGUGAAAAACCCGUUCGCCGAAAGACCAAGGGUUCCAGUCCAACGUUAAUCGGGGCUGGGUGAGUCGACCCCUAAGGCGAGGCCGAAAGGCGUAGUCGAUGGGAAAAUGGUUAAUAUUCCAUUACUUCUGUGUAAUGCGAUGAGAGGACGGAGAAGGCUAAAUCAGCCUGGCGUUGGUUGUCCAGGUGAAAGGAUGUAGGCAUGUAUCUUAGGCAAAUCCGGGGUACUCUAUGCUGAGAUCUGAUAGCAAGCUGUACUUGUACAGCGAAGUGGUUGAUGCCAUGCUUCCAGGAAAAGUCUCUAAGCUUCAGUUACACAGGAAUCGUACCCGAAACCGACACAGGUGGUCAGGUCGAGUAGACCAAGGCGCUUGAGAGAACUCUGCUGAAGGAACUAGGCAAAAUGGUACCGUAACUUCGGGAGAAGGUACGCUGUUGUUGGUGAUGGAACUCGCUUCCUGAGCUGACGACAGCCGCAGAAACCAGGCCGCUGCAACUGUUUAUUAAAAACAUAGCACUCUGCAAACACGAAAGUGGACGUAUAGGGUGUGAUGCCUGCCCGGUGCUGGAAGGUUAAUUGAUGGGGUUAGCGUAAGCGAAGCUCUUGAUCGAAGCCCCAGUAAACGGCGGCCGUAACUAUAACGGUCCUAAGGUAGCGAAAUUCCUUGUCGGGUAAGUUCCGACCUGCACGAAUGGCAUAAUGAUGGCGGCGCUGUCUCCAGCAGAGGCUCAGUGAAAUCGAAAUCGCUGUGAAGAUGCAGUGUACCCGCGGCUAGACGGAAAGACCCCGUGAACCUUUACUGCAGCUUGACACUGAACUUUGACCUUACUUGUGUAGGAUAGGUGGGAGGCUUUGAAGCUGGAACGCUAGUUCCAGUGGAGCCGUCCUUGAAAUACCACCCUGGUAAUGUUGAGGUUCUAACUCUGUCCCGUGAUCCGGGACGAGGACCGUGUCUGGUGGGUAGUUUGACUGGGGCGGUCUCCUCCUAAAGAGUAACGGAGGAGUACGAAGGUGCGCUCAGCGUGGUCGGAAAUCACGCGUAGAGUAUAAAGGCAAAAGCGCGCUUAACUGCGAGACCCACAAGUCGAGCAGGUACGAAAGUAGGUCUUAGUGAUCCGGUGGUUCUGUAUGGAAGGGCCAUCGCUCAACGGAUAAAAGGUACUCUGGGGAUAACAGGCUGAUACCGCCCAAGAGUUCAUAUCGACGGCGGUGUUUGGCACCUCGAUGUCGGCUCAUCUCAUCCUGGGGCUGAAGCAGGUCCCAAGGGUAUGGCUGUUCGCCAUUUAAAGAGGUACGCGAGCUGGGUUUAGAACGUCGUGAGACAGUUCGGUCCCUAUCUACCGUGGGCGCUGGAAAUUUGAGAGGAUCUGCUCCUAGUACGAGAGGACCAGAGUGGACGAACCUCUGGUGUACCGGUUGUGACGCCAGUCGCAUCGCCGGGUAGCUAUGUUCGGAAGGGAUAACCGCUGAAAGCAUCUAAGCGGGAAGCCUACCUCAAGAUAAGAUUUCCCUAGGACUUUAUGUCCUCUAAAGAGCCGUUCGAGACUAGGACGUUGAUAGGUUGGAUGUGGAAGCAUAGUGAUAUGUGAAGCUGACCAAUACUAAUUGCUCGUGAGGCUUGACUAU